AAGCGAAACAAGCAAGGCGCUUAGGUGCCUUGCCUGUCUGCUCGGCGUGGUUGCCGAGCACUGAUGAGCAGCCAAAG
rnacentral:hammerhead_ribozyme from 2 species